AAAAAAAAGAAUAUUCAUCAAUCAAUAAAAAAACUUGUUUUCCUAAUUUCUAAAUCACAACCCAAAAGCUACAAAAAAAUUCUAUAAAGAUUAAAACUUUCAUAAAAUAUAAAUUUUUAGAAUUUUAUUUAAAAAAUACAAUCUAUUGAUAAGAAAAUCUAAAACAAUACUCAUCUAUGAACAUUCUGGUUAUCCUUAUAUCUUAAUCACAACCCAAAAUCUACAAUAUUUUUCUACAAAAAUGAAAACUUACCUAAAAUAGGAUUUUUAGUAUUUUAUUUUUAAAAUACAACCUAGGAAUCAAAAAUUUUAAAAGAAUAUUCAUCAAUCAACAACAAAACUUGUUCUCCUAAUUUCGAAAUCACAACUCCAAAUCUACAAAAAUAAUCUAUAAAAAUG
rnacentral:lncRNA from 1 species